CCUCCUGCUCUUUGCUCCGUGAGAAAGAUCCACCUACGACCUCAGGUCCUCAGACCGACUAGCCCAAGAAACAUCUCACCAAUUUCAAAUCUGACCUUUGCAAGAGGGUCCAAGACAUUUGCAUCAUCAUUCAGUGAGACCUGUAAACACAGCAUCUGCCUUUGACCACAUCCAUCUGGAAGAACCUGAGAGAUAAUCCAUUUUAUGAAAUUUUCCCUACCCUGAAAUGGGAGAAUGGAACCAAGUUCUGGAGAAGCUCCUGGGCUGCUAGAACUGGGUGCUGGAGAAACCAGGUAUGCUGAAGGAGGUUGAUGAAACAAACACACUGGAAUCAGAAAGAGAAUCCCCUUCCUCCUGCAGUAUUCCACCAAUACCUUCUACUGACAAAGCUUAACAUUAUGUCACCUGACUUAGAAGAAAUAUUUGCAGGGUCCAGCUGCAUUAUCCACAGAAUAGUGAAUGAAGGAUGGAGUUGGAGCUGAAAGAAAAUAAGCUGACAACUGGCACAGUAAAGUAUUUGGCUCCACCAUCUCUACGUACACCCUUCUAUACAUAUUUACACUUCUGUGCAACAGUGAAACAACUCUAUAUUUCACCUAAAAAGAUACAGCUGUCUUAAAAUGUAAAGAAGUCCUCAGCUUUGCUUUACAAUGAGGAGAUGCACAGUCUCCGUUGUCAUUAUUUCCAUCAUUGGCUAUAUAUUAAAUAUUUCUAAAAUCCUGUCACAGUCUCUGUUACCUAAAAAUAAAUUUGUAAAAUUAACUCCUAAGAACUUAUAUGUAAAAUAAAAAUAAUAAGAAAAUGUUAGCUUAUAUGAGGGGUCUUCAAAAAGUUCACGGAAAAUGUGUAUUUUAUAUAUAUAUAAAAAUAGAUGUGUGGAUUUCAAACAUUUUCGGCACAAAAGUAAACUCGUGCUAACUUGUUAUAACAUGCCUGAACAGAAUCUAAUUUGAAGCACUGAGAAGGAUAAGGCAUCCAUUUGAAAAGGACUCCUAUAUUGCAACAUGAAUUCUGCUAAAAUUGAAGCAAGAACAAACAUCAAAUUUAUGAUGAAGUUUGGGUAGAAGAACGAUGAAAUUAGUGAUGCUUUAUAAAAAGUUUAUUGGGACAAUACCCCAAAUGAAUCAGCAGUUUAAAAAUGGAUA
rnacentral:lncRNA from 1 species